AUUGAACGCUGGCGGCAGGCCUAACACAUGCAAGUCGAACGGUAACAGGAAGAAGCUUGCUUCUUUCCUCACCAGUCGCGGACGGGUUAGUUAUGACUGGGACACUUCCUGAUGGAUGGCGUUCACUACUGGAAACGGUAGCUACUACCGCCUAACGUCGCAAGACCAAAAAGCUUGGCCUUCCAGGCUCUCGCCAUCGCCUGUGCCCAGUUGGGAUUAGCUAGUAGGUGGGGUAACGGCUCACCUAGGCGACGAUCCCUAGCUGGUCUGAGAGGAUGAACAGCCACACUGGAACUGAGACACGGUCCAGACUCCUACGGGAGGCAGCAGUGGGGAAUAUUGCACAAUGGGCGCAAGCCUGAUGCAGCCAUGCCGCGUGUAUGAAGAAGGCCUUCGGGUUGUAAAGUACUUUAAGCGGGGAGGAAGGGAGUAAAGUUAAUACCUUUGCUCAUUGACGUUACCCGCAGAAGAAGCACCGGCUAACUCCGUG
rnacentral:rRNA from 1 species